GAUGAACGCUGGCGGCGUGCCUAAUACAUGCAAGUCGAGCGAAUGGAUUAAGAGCUUGCUCUUAUGAAGUUAGCGGCGGACGGGUGAGUAACACGUGGGUAACCUGCCCAUAAGACUGGGAUAACUCCGGGAAACCGGGGCUAAUACCGGAUAAUAUUUUGAACUGCAUGGUUCAAAAUUGAAAGGCGGCUUCGGCUGUCACUUAUGGAUGGACCCGCGUCGCAUUAGCUAGUUGGUGAGGUAACGGCUCACCAAGGCAACGAUGCGUAGCCGACCGGAGAGGGGGAUCGGCCACACUGGGACUGAGACACGGCCCAGACUCCUACGGGAGGCAGCGGUAGGGAAUCUUCCGCAAUGGACGAAAGUCUGACGGAGCAACGCCGCGUGAGUGAUGAAGGCUUUCGGGUCGUAAAACUCUGUUGUUAGGGAAGAACAAGUGCUAGUUGAAUAAGCUGGCACCUUGACGGUACCUAACCAGAAAGCCACGGCUAACUACGUGCCAGCCGCAGCGGUAA
rnacentral:rRNA from 1 species